rnacentral:rRNA from 1 species
CGACGAAGAACCUUACCUACCCUUGACAUCCAGAGGAUUUUCCAGAGAUGGAUUAGUGCCUUCGGGAACUCUGAGACAGGUGCUGCAUGGCUGUCGUCAGCUCGUGUUGUGAAAUGUUGGGUUAAGUCCCGUAACGAGCGCAACCCCUAUCCUUAUUUGCCAGCGAUUCGGUCGGGAACUCUAAGGAGACUGCCGGUGACAAACCGGAGGAAGGUGGGGAUGGCGUCAAGUCAUCAUGGCCCUUACGGGUAGGGCUACACACGUGCUACAAUGGGGAGUACAGAGGGAUGCGAAGCGGCGACGUGAAGCCAAUCCCAAAAAGCUCUCCUCAGUCCGGAUUGGAGUCUGCAACUCGACUCCAUGAAGUCGGAAUCGCUAGUAAUCGCGAAUCAGAAUGUCGCGGUGAAUACGUUCCCGGGCCUUGUACACACCGCCCGUCACACCACGGGAGUGGAUUGCACCAGAAGUGGCUAGUUUAACCUUCGGGGGAACGGUUACCACGGUGUGGUUCAUGACUGGGGUGAAGUCGUAACAAGGUAGGCGUAGCGAG